CCUACGGGGGGCUGCAGUGGGGAAUAUUGCGCAAUGGCCGAAAGGCUGACGCAGCGACGCCGCGUGGAGGAUGACGCCCUUCGGGGUGUAAACUCCUGUUGCCCGGGACGAAUGCCUGUUUUGACAGGAGUGACGGUACCGGGUGAGGAAGCACCGGCUAACUCUGUGCCAGCAGCCGCGGUAAUACAGAGGGUGCGAGCGGUGUCCAGAAGCACUAGGCGGAAAGGGGGCGUAGGUGGCGGGGUGUGCGGAAAGUCCGGGGCUCAACCCCGGAUCGGCCAUGCGAACUGCCUCGCUGGAGCACGGUAGAGGCACAUGGAAUUCCGGGUGUAGCGGUGGAAUGCGUAGAGAUCCGGAAGAACACCGGUGGCGAAGGCGGUGUGCUGGGCCGUUGCUGACACUGAGGCGCGACAGCGUGGGGAGCAAACAGGAUUAGAUACCCGUGUAGUC
rnacentral:rRNA from 1 species